GUUUUCUAAAUUGGUGGUUACCUCCACCUUUUUCUGCCCGUCAUCUCCACAACUCAACCUUCCUAUAAUCAUGGGUAGUGGUAUGAAUUCAGUUGAAGAGGUAUUGUUAUAUAAUGUAGAGUUAACAAAAAGUCCCAAUCUUAAAGAAAUCAGUUUUUCUCCCACCAAUAUAUUGCAGUUAUCUGUCUUCCACCCUCUUCUAAUUUCUCUUCGAACCUCAACACAGCCACCGGUGACAAAACCCACACCACCAUUCUCCCAUCAAAAAAUAUGGCGUCCACUUCUCCUUCAUGUUCACAUCUUCUUUGUGCUUUCUUCUUAGCAGUUAGUUGGAAGGCCUAAUCAAUUUUUGGGUUUAACAGAAAGGGACGGUGAGACGAGGAACAAAGAGGGCUCUAUCGCUAAUCUGAUUAUCGACUCUUGAUUCUCAUACGGCAUACACCCUUCAAUCAUUGGUAGGUUUUCGUUCAAUUUCACUUUGACGUAUAAAGUGUUUGAGGGUAUUUUCGACUUUUACUUCUUUCACUGGCCGUCCCCUCUUGCUGAUGUCGAACAUGUAUACUCAGCUUACUUAUUGGUCGCCCUGCUCCAAUACCCGACUCGGUUAAGUUUGGGGAAACGCUUCGGCGUUUCAUUGUUUCUGUCAAUGACAAGAAACUUGCUCUCGACAUUGAUAUGUUGAUGGAGAAGAUCCGCGGGCUUUUCAGCUUCGGUUCUGAUGUCGAGUUUACCAUGACUUAUGUCGAUGAAGAUGGUGAUGUGGUUACUCUUGCUGACGAUGACGAUCUUCAUGAUUUCUUAGGAAAGAAUGAAAUGGGUAUUUUUUUGAUGUUUAGAUUGGUGGAAAGCCCAUGGGUAUUUUUUUAUAAUCUUCAUUCUUUAAUCAUUGUUACAGGUGUGAAAAAUGGAGUUCUAUCGGACAAUCUAUGGCAUAACUGGCUGCAAGAAUAUUUUGUUUGUCAAAUUAGCCAAUGAUUUUGCUUUGAUGGUUGAUGGAUAUUAAUGAGGGUGGGUCAUGUGUAUGUUCUUUUGAAUCCGUAGGGCGUUGAUCAAUCAUGCACAAAAGGUUCUCCAAGUAACCAUUUUUGAAAGUGGCUCGGCGCAUGAAAUUCUUUACGUGCUUAUGCUGGUACCCAAAGGAAAGUGGAAAAGGUACAUAGGGCUUGCAUAGUAAAAAGGCAAUGUCAAUGGUUAUACAAGUAACCGCUGGAAGUGCCUUAAUAUAACGAUCUUCAAUGGUGUGCUUAUGUGAGUUGCCAACCACUUUACUCUAUGUGUUUGAUAAACAAGAAGCAAUAUAUCUCAACAAAUACUCAAAAUAGCAUUGGGAAUUAAAAAGAUCUAGAGGCGAUCGGGUCACGUCUGAAAACAUUGAGCUCAAUGUUCACAUUGUUGUAAAGAGUGCUCACUAACGAAAAGGUAGAUCCAGACUGUUGAUUUCUAGAGUUGCAUAUUUCUUAACCAAGUAUAAAAGGCAUAACCUGAAAUGACAAGUUAGCCGUUUUAGGGUUAGUUAGCUCUCAUAAAUCUUCCAAAAUAGUAUCAGGUUUGGUGUUUGUUUUUUGAACGGCAAAUAGUACCAGGUUUGGUGUUACUGAGGGUUCUUAAUUUCUUUCUUUCCUACUUGUAAUUAGUUGUUGUUAACUUAAAUGGUCGAACUUUUAUUUGAAACUCUUUUGCUGAUUUCUUGAUGGAAAAGCUAUCAUUUCUUCAAAAUAUCCCAGAUAAAUUUUUUCCUUGGUUAAAGAUUUCUUAGUGAUUGAUUGUAAAUGUAAUUAGUUCCAUACCAGAUCGUUCAACGGUUUGCUAUUUUGGAUCUCUCAAAUUUCUAUUUGGAAAUUGCUAAAGACCGCCGUUAUGUUGGGUAAACUUUUUUAUGAUUUAGUGAAGUUUAUUUUUGUUUAUAGUCAACAUGAGUUGACUUUGAGUUGUUGACUUCUAUUUCAAGGGGCUGCAAGUCUUAAAUGAGAAGUUGUCAAAACAGUCCUUGUAGUUCAUCUACUUUCAAUAGUGGGAGUAAUUGUUGCAAUACUACCUCGUCAUGCUGAAGAAGUGUGGCAAAAUCUCCCUUUCAAAAUAUGAUAUUGUUUUUCUUAGCUCUUUAUUAGGAUAUAGUUCAAGCACUGGUUUAAAUACACAGGAACCAUAUAUGGGUCAAGGCCUUGAAAUGGUCUGGUCAACAAGAUUUUGAAGCAUAUACAAUUGUUAAAUUGAAACUACAUGGGAAAGAAGUUGGACUGCUAAAUAACCAUGGUCCUUUCAUUGUCCUCAAGUUUUGUGUGUACGUGUGUGCGUGCGUGUGUCAACUCUAUAUGUGAAUAUUUAUCUAUGGUCGGUUACUUUGAUAUAAUGGACAAUUUUUGUCAUUCA